rnacentral:lncRNA from 1 species
AAGAAAAAACAGGUCAUACCUUCACCAUGAUGCUUGAAAAUUUCCUCAGCUAAAUGACCAGAUUUGUCACUUACAAAGUCUGCCUUCAGCAUAACUGCAGAACACAAUAUAUAUAAGCUUUCUGCUUCUAUAUAACAAGGAUUCUCCUUCCUUCAGUCUCCAAUAUUGGGUUCCUCAUUUUCUUCUCAGAGAUCACCAGAGCAUCCUUCAAGUCCACAUUUCUACUAAUAACCUAUUCAAGACUUUACCAAGCAGACGCUGCUGGAAAAACAAGAACUUUCCUUGUCUGCUGUUAAGAUGCCAGAAAAAUGAUGAAAAGAGCACAGUACCGAAAAUAAGAAGAGAGUAAAACCAUAAUAAGAAAGACAAGGUGCUGGAGGGUGCACGGUGAUUAGGAACUGGCAUGGAUCCCCAGUGCAGCACAACUGCUUCACAGAAAAGUGUCUGUGUGUCUGGAGUUGGUUCCUUCCCAUGGGUUCAUUCGUGGUCUCGCUGACUUCAAGAAUGGAGCCGUGGACC